CCUACGGGAGGCUGCAGUGGGGAAUAUUGCACAAUGGGGGAAACCCUGAUGCAGCGACGCCGCGUGAGCGAUGAAGUCUUUCUGUAUGUAAAGCUCUAUCAGCAGGGAAGAAAAUGACGGUACCUGACUAAGAAGCCCCGGCUAACUACGUUCCAGCCGCCGCGGUAAUACGUAGGGGGCAAGCGUUAUCCGGAUUUACUGGGUGUAAAGGGAGCGUAGACGGCGGUGCAAGCCAGCUGUGAAAGCCCGGGGCUCAACCCCGGGACUGCAGUUGGAACUGUGCUGCUAGAGUGUCGGAGAGGCAGGCGGAAUUCCUAGUGUAGCGGUGAAAUGCGUAGAUAUUAGGAGGAACACCAGUGGCGAAGGCGGCCUGCUGGACGAUGACUGACGUUGAGGCUCGAAAGCGUGGGGAGCAAACAGGAUUAGAUACCCUAGUAGUC
rnacentral:rRNA from 1 species